rnacentral:rRNA from 1 species
GACGAAUGCUGGCGGCGUGCUUAACACAUGCAAGUCGAACGGAAAGGCCCUGCUUGCAGGGUGCUCGAGUGGCGAACGGGUGAGUAACACGUGGGUGAUCUGCCCCUUACUUUGGGAUAAGCCUGGGAAACUGGGUCUAAUACUGGAUAGGACCAUGCUGUAGGUGGUGUGGUGGAAAGAUUAGUUUCGGUAAGGGAUGAGCUCGCGGCCUAUCAGCUUGUUGGUGGGGUAAUGGCCUACCAAGGCGUCGACGGGUAGCCGGCCUGAGAGGGUGGACGGCCACAUUGGGACUGAGAUACGGCCCAGACUCCUACGGGAGGCAGCAGUGGGGAAUAUUGCACAAUGGGCGCAAGCCUGAUGCAGCGACGCCGCGUGGGGGAUGACGGCCUUCGGGUUGUAAACUCCUUUCAGCCAUGACGAAGCCCUUGUGGUGACGGUAGUGGUAGAAGAAGCACCGGCUAACUACGUG